CUUUCCCAGUCUGGAAUAAAAGGUGUUUUUUUUUUUUUUUUGCCAAUCAGCAAAGAUUUCCCAAGCACCCAUCAUGUGCCAAACACUGCACUGGAUCUUACGAAGCAUCGCCUAUGCAGGCAAUUAAAGGAUGUUAAUGGAAAAGUGUUUCAGGCAGAAUAAUGGCCCUCAAAGAUGUUGACACCAGAAUCUUCAAACCUGUGCAUAUGUUACCUAACAUGACAAAAGGGACUUUGCGGAUGUGAUUAAGGUUAAGAACUUUGAGAAGGGAAGAUUAUCCUGGAUUAUACAGGUCAACAUUUAUUGCUUUCUGAACUUUCCUGGAAGAUCAUCUGCCAUACUCCAGCAGAAGGGUGGAUUUGAAAAAAUAACGUUUCCACGGCAACAGUGGCAGCAAUUCAGAUAGAAACCAGCAGAAAUAGGCCAGGAGCAGUGGAGGCUAUUGGGCGAUUUGUUCCAGGAAAUUCUGACAACUCACUGGGAAGCUGAAACUGCUGGGGACUUGGCUGUUCAGCUCCUGCUCUUUUUCUAUUUGGACACCUGGACACGGAUGUCAGCUCCCCUGGGAGUACCAGUUACACCCCUUCCAAGUUGUCUGACAACAGGCAGCAAAAAUUUAAGAUGUUACUUGAUGGAAUUUCUGGAUCCUUAUUCUAAACCCAAUCCUGAAGACAACACAGAAGUGAGAAGGAAAAUGUGAGGAAUUGGAGGUUACACUGGGAAAUCAUGAAGAGAAAAUGGCAAAUGCACACCGCAAAAGCAACACAUUUGAUGCACAUAGAACAAUGUGGGUAAAUCUUAAAGGCAUAAUGUUGUCCCACAAGUAAGAAACAAAACACUGUCUACACCACAGUGCCUUUGUGCAAGUUAAUACACACAUACAAAAUGUGUACUUGUAAGUAUCUAGUCAUACAAAAGAGCACAUAUCAAGCACAUUGAAGAAGGUGACCAUGUGGUAUAGAGAAUGGAAGUGGGAAUAAGAAAUAAAGUAGAGAAAAAUAAUAAAAAUGAUGAACCUUG